rnacentral:lncRNA from 1 species
GUCCGGGGGGAGGGAAGGAGGACGGCUGUAAUCUCCAGCUGCAAUUCCUCCCACGCAUCACAUGCGCCGUCGUGGAUAACAUAACGUGGGGGGGUAUGGAAGUUGGGGGCAGUGACAAAGUGGCAGUGGCUAUGGCAUCUAGCCCAUAAGAAGAGGGACCCACGCAGGCGGGUGUCCAUCCGAGGUCCGGAGCCACGGCUCGGAUCGACGCGGACGCUCCCCGACGGGCUUCCUCGCGUGUCUGUGGUUGUCGCAGGCCAGAGAGCAUCUAAGGGAAAGACGUGCGGCGGACGGUCCAAAGAGAGGGACGCUGGAGCACGUGUCCAGUAUCUGUGCUAGAGCGCCGAGCGAGGGCCGCUCUCGUUCGCACCGUGACCAGAAAACGUCCAGUAACCAGAUCCCAGCGGAGCGGUCGGGGUCAUUGUCAUGUUGACAGUGAAGCGGGAAGAAGAGCAGCCAGACGCUGUCAGUCAAGACACCUCCUGUGCACCCUCCCACCACCACCCCCACCCACAGCGUGACGUUACAGGACACAAGUGGAGGACGGAACAUUCCGGAAGCGCUCUAUGUGGUCGACAUCAACUCAACAGCACUUAAGAGCAGCAACCACUGUCUCCGCCUCAUGUCUGCACGAGUUGAAUUUUUCGUGUGCCGUGGAGGGUUAAAUUACAUAAACUUCGAUAUUUAAAUGAUCAUGAUAUUUGCAAAUAAUCAUAUCAGUUGUAACGAACUCUGCUUUUGGAAGCAGCUCCUUUAUUUUUUUCUGUUAUCGUGUUACAUUUAGUCCACCACACCCCCCCCCCCCCGGCAUUGCUUAUUUUCG